AAGUAAAAUUUCAUUCUGAUUUUUAGUAUGUCAGUAGUGUAACUUUCUGUGGUUGGCCCUUUUGCUUCCUUCCUUGGUGUACUAUUUCAUAUGUUCAUGAAUCUGACCUUUCUUUCAGUUCAGAGUGAAGAAAUUCAACUCUGAGAUAAUUUUUAAAUGUUUAAAUUUAUAUAUUUUUUCUUUUUUUAAUUGAAAUAUGAAUCUGAUUCAUGUUUUUUCUUUUUACAAUCAGUUUCCAGAGGAGACAGAACUGGACCUUUUGUCAGUAACCAUUGAAGGUCCAUCCCAUUAUUCAUCAAAUAGUGAAGGAUCAUGUUCUGUGUUCAGUUCUCCCAAAACUCCAGGAGGCUUUUCACCAGGCAUUCCUUUCCAAACUGAAGAGGGCCGACGGGAUGACAGUUUGUCUUCUACCAGUGAAGAUUCCGAGAAGGAUGAAAAAGAUGAAGACCAUGAGAGGGAAAGGUUUUAUAUUUACAGGAAACCCUCACAUACAUCUCGUAAAAAAGCAACAGGCUUUGCUGCUGUUCAUCAGCUAUUUACAGAACGCUGGCCAACAACACCAGUCAAUAGAAGUCUUAGUGGCACAGCUACAGAGAGAAAUAUUGACUUUGAACUUGAUAUACGGGUUGAAAUUGAUAGUGGAAAAUGUGUACUCCACCCAACCACCCUUCUACAAGAACAUGAUGAUAUAAGUUUGAGAAGGAGUUAUGAUCGAAGUUCCAGGAGCUUAGAUCAAGAUUCACCUUCAAAAAAGAAGAAGUUUCAAACUAAUUAUGCUUCUACCACCCAUUUAAUGACCGGCAAGAAAGUGCCAUCAUCUCUACAGACAAAGCCUAGUGACUUGGAAACAACAGUAUUUUACAUUCCCGGAGUUGAUGUAAAG
rnacentral:sRNA from 1 species